rnacentral:rRNA from 1 species
GAUGAACGCUGGCGGCGUGCCUAAUACAUGCAAGUCGAGCGAACGGACGAGAAGCUUGCUUCUCUGAUGUUAGCGGCGGACGGGUGAGUAACACGUGGAUAACCUACCUAUAAGACUGGGAUAACUUCGGGAAACCGGAGCUAAUACCGGAUGAUAUUUUGAACCGCAUGGUUCAAAAGUGAAAGACGGUCUUGCUGUCACUUAUAGAUGGAUCCGCGCUGCAUUAGCUAGUUGGUAAGGUAACGGCUUACCAAGGCAACAAUGCAUAGCCGACCUGAGAGGGUGAUCGGCCACACUGGAACUGAGACACGGUCCAGACUCCUACGGGAGGCAGCAGUAGGGAAUCUUCCGCAAAGGGCGAAAGCCUGACGGAGCAACGCCGCGUGAGUGAUGAAGGUCUUCGGAUCGUAAAACUCUGUUAUUAGGGAAGAACAUAUGUGUAAGUAACUGUGCACAUCUUGACGGUACCUAAUCAGAAAGCCACGGCUAACUACGUG